rnacentral:rRNA from 1 species
UACGGAGGGUGCAAGCGUUAUCCGGAUUUACUGGGUUUAAAGGGUGCGUAGGUGGGUCUGUAAGUCAGUGGUGAAAUCUCCGAGCUUAACUCGGAAACUGCCAUUGAUACUAUAGGUCUUGAAUUCGGUCGAGGUUGGCGGAAUGUGUCGUGUAGCGGUGAAAUGCUUAGAUAUGACACAGAACACCGAUUGCGAAGGCAGCUAGCUAGACCGACAUUGACGCUGAGGCACGAAAGCGUGGGGAUCAAACAGG